rnacentral:rRNA from 1 species
AUACGUAGGUGGCAAGCGUUGUCCGGAAUUAUUGGGCGUAAAGCGCGCGCAGGUGGUUCCUUAAGUCUGAUGUGAAAGCCCCCGGCUCAACCGGGGAGGGUCAUUGGAAACUGGGGAACUUGAGUGCAGAAGAGGAUAGUGGAAUUCCAAGUGUAGCGGUGAAAUGCGUAGAGAUUUGGAGGAACACCAGUGGCGAAGGCGGCUGUCUGGUCUGUAACUGACACUGAGGCGCGAAAGCGUGGGGAGCAAACAGGAUUAGAUACCCUGGUAGUCCACGCCGUAAACGAUGAGUGCUAAGUGUUAGGGGGUUUCCGCCCCUUAGUGCUGCAGCUAACGCAUUAAGCACUCCGCCUGGGGAGUACGGUCGCAAGACUGAAACUCAAAGGAAUUGACGGGG